rnacentral:rRNA from 1 species
UACAGAGGGUGCAAGCGUUGUUCGGAAUUAUUGGGCGUAAAGCGCGUGUAGGCGGCUUUGCAAGUCGGAUGUGAAAGCCCUGGGCUCAACCCAGGAAGUGCAUUCGAAACUGCAGAGCUGGAGCCUGGAGAGGAAGGCGGAAUUCUCGGUGUAGAGGUGAAAUUCGUAGAUAUCAGGAGGAACACCGGUGGCGAAGGCGGCUUUCUGGACACUAACUGACGCUGAGACGCGAAAGCGUGGGGAGCAAACAGG